rnacentral:rRNA from 1 species
CGUGAGUGAUGAAGGCUUUCGGGUCGUAAAGCUCUGUCAAGUGGGAAGAACCUGCUCGAUGUUAACACCAUCUAGCACUGACGGUACCACUAAAGGAAGCACCGGCUAACUCCGUGCCAGCAGCCGCGGUAAUACGGGGGGUGCAAGCGUUAUUCGGAAUUAUUGGGCGUAAAGGGCGCGUAGGCGGUCUCUAAAGUCAGAUGUGAAAGCCCGGGGCUUAACCCCGGAAGUGCAUUUGAAACUCAGGGACUUGAGUAUGGGAGAGGGAAGUGGAAUUCCUGGUGUAGCGGUGAAAUGCGUAGAUAUCAGGAGGAACACCAGUGGCGAAGGCGACUUCCUGGACCAAUACUGACGCUGAGGCGCGAAGGCGUGGGGAGCAAACAGGAUUAGAUACCCUGGUAGUCCACGCAGUAAACGGUGAACACUAGGUGUAGCGGGUAUUGACCCCUGCUGUGCCGCAGCUAACGCAUUAA